GCUAGCACUACUGAUUGGCUGGGGCUCCAGGCCCCACCCAUUUAGACCCUGAGUGACAGGCGAUGUAAUUAGACAACGGGCUAAAUGAGCUGCAGGAGAUCAAAGUUCUCCAGGAGAUGCAGCUGCUUCGGCUGGCUGUCAACAAUUAUCACCUUCGGCCUGUGGAACAAUUUUGGGUCUGCUUCCAGUUAAUGGAGUGGCUCAGUGAGACUGAGAGGUCAGCAACACUACCCUCAAGGCCAUGGAGAACAUGUCAUGAUGAAUCUUAGGGGACAUUGAGUGCCUGGACAAACAGGAGCAAAGUGCCUUAGGGCUCAGUGACAUUUGGGCUAGGCAUGGGUUCCCAGCUCCACCACUGACCAGCCAUGUGACUGGGGCAGAAAAUUCACUGCUAUGGUACUUGAGGCCCCAUUGUCAUAAAUAUAAUGCACACUGCCUAUUUCUUUUUCUCAUGUAUCUGUUUAUUUAUAAUCACCACGUAUUACUGAUCUCUGUUUUCAUUCAAAAUUAAUAAGCAUGUUAUACAGUUUUUAUCAUUCUUAUGAUUUCUUUACUAUGUGAUUCCUCUCAUGUGUGGUACUUAAGAGU